UCACAUGAAGUGUCGCCAGUGCUCUGAAAGGACAGAGGGCUGAGAUAGAGAGUAAUAGGAAGGAAUGCUUUUGGACAGCAAUGGUCAGGGACAGUCUCCCUGAAGAGGUAACAUUCAAGCUGAUCUGCAGAAGCAAAAUGGGCUUUGGGGCCAUGCAGACCUAAACUUUUAAGGGCUAUUGGAAACAUCUGAACAGAAUUCACAUAAAGUCCUUCACUCAGUGCCGGGUUCAUAGUAAAUGGCAGCUGCUAUGGUGACGGUGCAAAUGAUUUUCUGCUCAGCCAGACCUUCUUCCUCUAAGGCCCAUUUCUGACUAAACUACUCCAUUAAACCUUCUUUAGUGAAUCCAGCCCACACUGAUUCAUUUAUUCACCAAAUGUUUAUGGGGCCUCUACUGUUUGUCAGGUACCAUCCUCAGCUCUGGGGAUACACCGGUAAAGCCCACUUGGCUGUCACAGAACACAUGUUACAGGAGGAAAUUCAAUUCUGCAAUUUUCUUUUCUUUUCCAGACACAAUAGAAUUACAGACUCCUGGAGGGCAGGGGACUUACCCCUUUUUGAAUUCCCCCCCACAGUUCCUGACAUCAACUAAGUGCUCUGUAAAGUGCUAGACUGUGACCUUUUAGCUGGUCCAGUGUGCACCACCUGCCCAGUAGCCAAGGACUUUGAGACCUGGCAGUCCUAUUAGGAGAGAGAAGAGAAAAAGUGUAGUCUGACACAUUAAGGGCCCCAAAGCUAUCUCUAUGCCUUGAAAAAAGGCCGACAUCUCUACCAUUCCAGUCUGCUGAAAGGCCUGAAGUUGUAAAGUGCCAAAACUCAGAUCCUGUUGGCCUGGCCUUUAAGGAAGCAGUUUUCAUGAAUGUGUUGAUUUUGUUGUGGUAGUGGUGGUUAACCAACUUAAAUUUUUUUUUUUUCUUAAGAGAAUGUUUGCCGAUCCUGGAGAAGCUUUUGGUUUCCCGAUGUUAACCAAAACCUUCCACCUUGCCCACUAUUCACCCCGCUCCACAUAUGUGCAUCCACAUCUAUAUACUAUGUAGAGUCUGUCAUUUUAUUUCAAACCUCCUGUUUCCUCCAAGUCAGUGCUUCCCAGCAUAAAAAACACCUAUUAUGCCAAUAACUUAUUGAGCUACAGUUCACUUAUUAUUAGAGUUUAUUAUUAGAUAAACAAUACAGGAUGCCUCAUUAAAUGUGAAUUUCAGAUAAACAACAUAUAAUUAUUUAGUGUAAGUGUGCCCCAUGCAAGGUUUGGAACAUAGUUAUACAAAAAACAUCUGUUGCUUUAUGAAAUUCUAAUUUAACUAGGUGUCCUAUAUUACUAUUUGCCAGAUCUGGCAAUCCUACUUGUUAUAGGUCUUUACCUGUGCUGUCUCUCAUAAGCCUUUAAAAAAUACACAAAGUAAGUAUGCUAAUUUUACAAAUAAAGACACUGAUGCUCAGACAGAGACAGUAAUAUCCUCAAGAUUAUAGCUGGUACAUGGUAGAAUCAGGAUUUGAAGCUAGAUAUGUUCAAAUACGAAGGCCCUGUUUUCACCUUUCUCAAGAAAACCAGUAAUUGUUACAACUGUUUUGUCCAGAGCUAAAUCAAGCUAGAGUUCUAUAAUGUGAGAUUAAUGGACAUGCCUUUGCAGUUCCCAAAACACAGCUCUUUACCAUGCUGAGACUUGGCACCCAUCUGCCCCUUCUUGCCAUGUGAGUGCUACUCAGCCUUCCUGACUCAGCUCAGAGGUUACCUCAUGGAGGAAGCUUCUCUGAUCCUCCCAGGAAGAGCUGAUCAUUCUGUGUGUCUCCUCAGCACUUGUACAGCGCACCGCAAUGAUCUUCUUAAGGGUCUGUCUCCCUCAGAAGGCCAUGAGUUUCCUGAGAUGGGCACCAUGUCAUUUUCCCAGUGCCUAGCAUGAAAGUGGAGCCUCAGUAGAUUCUCGGUAAAUGCCCAAAUUUGAAGCCCAAAUCCUGGGCAUCCGAUUUAUAUAAACUCUGCUAAAACACGUAUGAGAUUACUGAUUGGAAGACAAUGGAUCUCCUGGCUGUUUGUGAAAAACGUCAUCAGAAGAUGGAUACUAGAAACUAACCUAUGUCAUAAGCACAAAGAUAUAAACAAUCCACUGAGGAAAACAUCUAAUUUAUUUCUUCAUGCUGAGGAAAUGACUGAUGCAGUCUGGCGUGUCACUUCAUGCGUCGGACAAAGCUUUAAGUCACAAGGAAGUCUGUCUAAUGGUGGAGUCCCAGACACCAGCCAUGCAGUGCAGGCAGCAUCUUGAGAACGAGAAGCGAACUCUCCCUAGUCUGGGCCAGCGUGAGCACACUGUCGGCUGUCCUCAGUAUGUGUGGUGGAGGAGGGAGACACAUAUAAUAGGUAAGAACACUGGCUGCAGAGUCAGACUGCUGGAAUUUGUCUCCCACACCUAGCACGUCCUGACCUUGGACAAGGUACUUCGCUCUGAGCCUCGUUUUUUUUCAUCUAUGAAAGAGAAAUGAUAACAGUUAUCUAGUUCAUGGAUUCUUGUGAGGAUCAGUGAGACUACAGGUGAGUGACUUAGUUCAAGGCCUAGCACGGUAAGCACACAACCUGUCAGUCCUUUCUUGCCUGUCAGAAUGACUGAAAUCAAUGGAACAGUACGUUGGCACGCAGGUGGACAACGUUUCAGCUUCUGACCACAGCUUCCUCUAGACUGAUUUCCAUGAAUAACGUAAAUCAUACUUAAAAGGAGCAGAGAUUACAAACAGAGGAAGGGAUGGCAGGGACUCAGGAUUUUAAAUGCCUCUCUUCUUCCCCCUCUUUCCCCUUGGCCUCCUUCCCCCCUUGGGUUCUUCAAGGAAACAAACAAAAUGCACAAAAGACAGGCCAGGAAAAUGCACGUUAUAAGACUUUGGCCUAAACCCCCAUGCAGACUAUAGAGUAAGCUGAGCUGGCCCUUGGGGAGGAUCCCUUUCACACGGCUAGAGGCAGGCCUAGGGCCUAAGAGUAAAGGAGCUCCUGCAGCCCUCUCCUCCCAAAGCCCAUACCCAAGUUCCUCUGGAUCUGACUGCUUUAACAGCAUGCAAAAGGGGAUUUGGGAAGAACUAUCAAGUCAGCAAAGAAGCAACACAUUGAAGAGAUCAUGUGGCCCUCACCUAGCGCUCACCUGGUCCAGGCUUUCUCAGCAGGUUGGAGUAACGAAUGGAAACUUAAGUCAGAAUUUUUUUUUAUGUUUCAUUCUAUCCGAUUAAUUCAUAGUUCAGUAUUUGAGUACAAUUUGUACCAUUUCAGAUCUGUACUCCAGACAAAAAUAGAGUAACUUGAAAUACUGUGUUUAAAGAAAUUCUCGUGUUCUAUCAUUAAAUUAUUUGCCUAAUAGUUGA